AUUGAACGCUGGCGGCAGGCCUAACACAUGCAAGUCGAACGAGUGGCGGACGGGUGAGGAAUGUCUGGGAAACUGCCUGAUGGAGGGGGAUAACUACUGGAAACGGUAGCUAAUACCGCAUACCAUGAGAUGUGCCCAGAUGGGAUUAGCUAGUUGGUGGGGUAACGGCUCACCAAGGCGACGAUCCCUAGCUGGUCUGAGAGGAUGACCAGCCAAACGGGACCUGAGACCGGGUCCAGACUCCUACGGGCGGCCGCAGUGGGGAAUAUUGCACAAUGGGCGAAAUCGUGAUGCAGGCAAGCCGGGUGGAUGAAGAAGGCCUGCGGGUUGGAAAAGACUUUCAGCGGGGAGGCGUUACCCGCCGCAGAAGCACCGGCUGACUCCGUGCCAGCAGCCGCGGUAAUAC
rnacentral:rRNA from 1 species